rnacentral:rRNA from 1 species
AAAUAAUGUCAUAAUAAUUGUUUUCUAACGACGAAUACUAUGACACAUCUCAAUGAGUUAUAUCUUAUCUUAAACAAAUCUCUAAAAUGGAACAAGUCACAUUUAAAGUGCUUUGCGCUCAUCAUGCUUGUGAUUAUUUUAAAGCAAACAUGUAAUCUUUCUUCUGCAUCUAAAGCCUUGCCCAUCAAGUGCUUACCACAAUCAUUUUAUCGACGUAUGCAGCGCUUCUUUGCAGGUCAGUAUUUUGAUUAUCGUCAAAUUUCUCAGUUGAUUUUCAAUAUGUUUUCAUUCGACCAAGUGCAACUGACUUUAGAUAGAACCA